AUUAGUAUUAGUUAUUUUCUUGAAAAUUAAAGAUUUUGGCGGUAUUUUAGUCUAUUCAGAGGAACCUGUUCUGUAAUUGAUAAUCCACGAUUUACUUUACUUAAUUAAUUUGUAUAUCGUCGUUAUUUUGAGUAUUUUAUAAGAAAUUUAAUGUUCAAGUUUUUUUAUUAAAAUUUAAGUCAGAUCAAGGUGCAGUUUAUUUCUAAGAAGGAAUGGGUUACAAUAAAUUUAUUUAAAUGGUUUAGCAGUUGAAAUUUUGUUAAUAAAGUGGGAAAGUAAUAUUUGAAAUGAAAUAAAUAGGAUUGU
rnacentral:rRNA from 1 species